CAUUAGCAGGAUUGUGCAAUUUAGGGUUCCCAUUAUUCUUUACCCGAUUAAUGGGCUUAUUUUUGUGGUUUAUUUCACCUGAUUUCGUUACAAAACUAGGGUCUUCGAUUCGAUUAAUGUUUCAAUUUAGGUAGAAUCUGAUGACUUAAUUUGACAACUUUGGGGUUUUGAAGAAAGAUCAAAUUCCAUAGGAAUUUUAGAUAGGUAACCACCUGUUAUUACUCUUUCUUUCUUUUUUCAUCUACAGAAAAUGUAAUGGAAGUGGCGGAUGUGAUGGUAUUGAUGUGAGGAAGAAGAAGAAGCAAAAGAAAAGGAGGAUAAAGAAAGAGAGUUAACAAUAAGUAUAUAUGUAUGGUCGGAAUUUGUUCUGUUGCACUUUCGAAAUUCCCUUAAUAGAUCCUUUACAUUUCUGAUAUUUAUGAAUGUUGGGAUCUUAGUUUGCUCUGAAAUUUAUCAAAUUCAAUUUCUAGCAAUCUUCCUUCAAAUUUUAUUUGGUCAAAUUUCUUCAAUUUUAUUUUCUGCUGAAAUCCCCAAAUAUUUAUCUCAAACUUCUACACUACAUUUCAAUAGUUUAUGAGUCUGAUUCAACAAGUGUAAUGGAGGAAUUCCUGGGACUUUUUAUUCUCUUCAACAACUUGAAUAUCAUUGGUUUGUUAAUGCACUUGAGUAUACAGGGAACUGCAAGUCUUUGUUUUGUAAUGUUUCUUUUAAUCCUCUGUCCUUACGAAUCAUUCACUUGGUGCUUAAUGCGUUUUACUGACACUGCUCCACUUGGUUAAUGAAUAUUUGGAUAUUAACAGUCAUUUAUAUGAUAUGUGUGUUUGAGCUCCAAUCCUUCACCCCUUGCAUGAAUCUUGCUGUGUUUCUUUUCCAUUACAUUUUAAAUGUUUCUCCUUUGAGAGACUAAUGCAUUGUUCACAAUCUUAGUUUCCUAUGUUAAGUGACUAAGGCAUUGUUUACUGUUUUGUAUACAUUUCCACUGGACCCUAAGUAGAGGCAUCUUACAUUGUUGACUUCUGAAGGAUUUGUGUUGUUGUUUGUUAGGUUCCCAAAGUUGUUGAUUAAAUGGAAUGGAUCUUCAAUGCACGACAGUCCAUGAUGAUGGCGAUUAGUAUGUUAGCAAUGGUGAAUCUCCACCGAUGCCCCAAUUCUCGUAGCUAGCUGGACUUCGUCAGUUGAUUAGUACCUCCAACAAAGGGCAAUCAACAAUCUGAUUACCUAAGAGGCCCAAAGUUAUUGAAGAAGCACGACUUCAGGAGUUGAUGGCCAUGAGAAGUGGAGGAGGGAAAGACAAUAUCUGCAUGAAAUGGACUCACAAUGCAUUGUACAACAAAUGAACGUUUUAAGGAGCCGAUAUGAAAGAGAAGCAAACCAACUAACGAAAGAAAAACAAUUUCGAUGUGAAGUCGCAUUUUCUUUUCGAUUUUUUUGUGCAUCGCAUGUACCUGCAAAACGGCGUGGCAGGCGCAUCGCGCGUGCCUGUUAUACUAGUGCAUAUAAAGGCAAGAGAAGCAAAUGUAAAUCAAAUAAAAGGGAUUGGAACAUUUCACUUGA